AACGGUUCUCAGGUGAAGCACCCCAGAAUCGGGCUCCUUCCUCUCUGAUUCUAGGUGCGUCACCCAAGAACCACA
rfam:Myotis lucifugus cont2.60924, whole genome shotgun sequence.